AGCCUGACGGAGCAACGCCGCGUGUGGGGAGGAAGGUUUUAGGACUGUAAACCACUUUUCUCAGGGAAGAAGAUCUGACGGUACCUGAGGAAUCAGCAUCGGCUAAUUCCGUGCCAGCAGCCGCGGUAAUACGGGAGAUGCAAGCGUUAUCCGGAAUUAUUGGGCGUAAAGCGUCCGCAGGCGGUCUUAUAAGUCUGUCGUUAAAGCACACAGCUUAACUGUGGGAGAGCGAUGGAAACUGUGAGACUAGAGUGCGGUAGGGGUAGGGGGAAUUCCCGGUGUAGCGGUGAAAUGCGUAGAUAUCGGGAAGAACACCAGCAGCGAAAGCGCCCUACUGGGCCGCAACUGACGCUCAUGGACGAAAGCUAGGGGAGCGAAAGGGAUUAGAUACCCCUGUAGUCCUAGCCGUAAACGAUGGACACUAGGUGUUGUCUGUAUCGACCGGACAGUGCCGUAACUAACGCGUUAAGUGUCCCGCCUGGG
rnacentral:rRNA from 1 species